AUGGAGACAAGUUGCGCCACCCGCCGGCCACCUACUCCGCGGCUGAAGGGCGCUGCACCGCCGCUAUCCCCUCCCGCGGUGACCCCUCCCGCCAGCCCAGGGUUGCGCCGCCGCUAUGCCCUCCCGCCGCCUAGGGCCUGCGCCGCCGCUAUCCCUUCCCGCCGCCCAGGACCUGCGCGCGCCUGCGUCUCGAGCGGCUGGAGCUGGAGCUCCCGGCGGGCCUCGACCUCAAGCUCGUCCUCAAGCUCCCAGCGGGCCUGCUCCUGUGCAAGUUGUUGCUCCUCCGCCCGUAGCUCCCCUGCUCGUGCUGCUGCCAGUGAGAAGAAGCACCCCUCUAUGGAGACGAGCAAGUGCUGCUGGACAUUGCUCUGA
rnacentral:rRNA from 1 species